GCGAAAACUUUGCAAUGCCGGCAACGGCGAUAAGGGGACCUCGAGUGCCAGGUUACAAAUCUGGCUGUCGUGUUGCCUAAAAAGCAUUGCAUAGCAAGGGCCGGGCAAGACCGGUGCCAGCCGCCGCGGUAACACCGGCGGCUCGAGUGGUAACCGUUAUUAUUGGGUCUAAAGGGUCUGUAGCCGGCCGGAUAAGUCUCUUGGGAAAUCCAGCAGCUUAACUGUUGGGCUUUCAGGAGAUACUGUCUGGCUCGAGGCCGGGAGAGGUGAGAGGUACUUCAGGGGUAGGGGUGAAAUCUUGUAAUCCUUGAAGAACCACCAGUGGCGAAGGCGUCUCACCAGAACGGACCUGACGGCAAGGUACGAAAGCUAGGGGCACGAACC
rnacentral:rRNA from 1 species